rnacentral:rRNA from 1 species
CAGUCGCCGCGGUAAUACGUAGGUGGCAAGCGUUGUCCGGAAUUAUUGGGCGUAAAGCGAGCGCAGGCGGUUAGAUAAGUCUGAAGUUAAAGGCUGUGGCUUAACCAUAGUACGCUUUGGAAACUGUUUAACUUGAGUGCAGAAGGGGAGAGUGGAAUUCCAUGUGUAGCGGUGAAAUGCGUAGAUAUAUGGAGGAACACCGGUGGCGAAAGCGGCUCUCUGGUCUGUAACUGACGCUGAGGCUCGAAAGCGUGGGGAGCAAACAGGAUUAGAUACCCCUGUAGUCCCUGUCUCUUAUACA